UACAGGGGGGGCAAGCGUUGUUCGGAAUUACUGGGCGUAAAGGGCUCGUAGGCGGCCAACUAAGUCCGACGUGAAAUCCCAAGGCUUAACCUUGGAACUGCGUCGGAUACUGGAUGGCUUGAAUUCGGGAGAGGGAUGCAGAAUUCCAGGUGUAGCGGUGAAAUGCGUAGAUAUCUGGAGGAAUACCGGUGGCGAAGGCGGCAUCCUGGACCGACAUUGACGCUGAGGCGCGAAAGCUAGGGGAGCAAACGGG
rnacentral:rRNA from 1 species